rnacentral:rRNA from 1 species
AUUGAACGCUGGCGGCAGGCCUAACACAUGCAAGUCGAGCGGAGCGGCGGACGGGUGAGUAAUGCCUAGGAAUCUGCCUGGUCGUGGGGGAUAACGUCCGGAAACGGGCGCUAAUACCGCAUACUAUCAGAUGAGCCUAGUGGGGAUUCGCUAGUUGGUGGGGUAAAGGCCUACCAAGGCGACGAUCCGUACCUGGUCUGAGAGGAGGCUCAGUCACACUGGAACGGAGACACGGUCAAGACUCCUACGGAAGGAAGAAGUGGGGAAUAUUGGACAAUGGGCGAAAGCCUGAUCCAGCAAUGCGGCGUGGGUGAAGAAGGUCUUCGGAUUGUAAAGCACUUUAAGUUGGGAGGCGUUACCAACAGAAUAAGCACCGGCUAACUUCGUGCCAGCCGCCGCGGUAAUUC